CUCUCUCAAAUCUCAAUCUUUUGUCUCUUCGUUUUGUCGUCAAUCCUUACUCUGUCUCCAACUCUUCUUUUUCUCCUCAAAACUCCAACUGCCCCUCUUUCAUCUACACUAAACUACAGAUACAGAAUUACAGAUUGAUUCUUUACUAUAAAAUCAAAACCCUAGCCUUAUCAUGUCUCUCAACCUUCUACUCUCUCUUCCCCUCAAAUCCCUAACUGACCCCUUUGAUUUCUUUUCUCCUCAAAACCAUAGUUGCCCUCUGUUCUUGUUCUUCAGAUUUCAACCACCGAAUCCACUAGCAAGAUGCAAAGUGAUGAGAUGAUUCCUAUUGACAUUAAGUGUGAAGGAAAAGACAUUGACUUAGAAGAUGAACUUGAUGAAGUGGCUGAACUUCCUCCGCCAAAGAAGGCUAAGACUAAGUCUAAGAAUGAGACAAAUAACAAAGACAACUAAAGGAGGAGGAAUUCAAUUGUUUGGCGUUACUUUCAUAUACUUCCUACAAAAGAUGAAGAAAAGUCUACAUGCAAAUGCAAGAAGUGUGGAAAGGAAUAUAUUGUUGUUGGAGCAUAUAAUACUGGAAAUUUGAAGCGCCAUUUGGAGUUAUGUCCAAGGAAAUUUGAAGCACCAUUGAGCAUUUAUGUUUCUACAGUUGCAGAUAUAGUAUGGAGGUUGGAACCUGUGGGGCCAGAGAAUUUGUGAUCCCGGCCCACUUUCCAUUAGGGCCCAAGGCUCGCGCUGAGGAGAGGUGUUGCCGAGGACAUGCAACGAAAGUCCAAAUGGCCUAGAGAUUUAACCGAGGAUGAUCCUGUCCUCGGCAUCCCAAAAUCUAGAAGGAAGGAAUGGCACGCCAUCAAAGGCAGCCCCCAGAGCGCUCCUAGAAGAAAGGGCAAGUACAGUGUAGGAGUGGUUCAAGGAAAAGCUGUCACCUCUGCAUUGAAUGCACCAACAAACAUCCUGGCUGCAUUAAUGGGGAAAGGACCCCUGAACAGUGUGGCGACAAAGAACAAGAGAAAGGCUACCAUUACUGCAAUUAAGUACUUUGCGCCUGACAGAGCUAUGCUUUUCAGUUUUUACAACCACCCCCAACCACUUUGGGUAUGGACUGAUAAGACAAGUAUCAACCCUAUAAAGCUGAACCAAAAUGUGGACGUUCGAGAGAGGGGAAAAGCUAGUAUAAAAGGAGGAGGAAGCAGUCCAAAAAAAGGAGAGCAUGAUGUAUUGUCUCUAGGACCACUGAAACCUAGCGUAAAAGGAACAAUAAGAACCUUAAGCUCCUCAGACGAGGUCCAAGGACCAGAGCCACCCAGGCCAUGCUGAGGAUAAAGUCUUCUUGAAUAUGUUCAAUUCACCUCUUUACGAUCAUCAUGAACACCAUGACUAACGACUGUCCGUUCAUCAAAGCCUAGCCUUUUAGUCCACUCUCUACAAAUUUAUUGUUUGGGCUUUUAACGUUCGAACCCAACACCAAUUUUGAAUCGUUACAA